rnacentral:rRNA from 1 species
CACGUAGGGCGCAAGCGUUGUCCGGAAUUAUUGGGCGUAAAGAGCUCGUAGGCGGUCUGUUGCGUCCGCUGUGAAAACUCGGGGCUUAACCCCGAGCCUGCAGUGGAUACGGGCAGACUAGAGGUAGGUAGGGGAGAAUGGAAUUCCCGGUGUAGCGGUGAAAUGCGCAGAUAUCGGGAGGAACACCGGUGGCGAAGGCGGUUCUCUGGGCCGGACCUGACGCUGAGGCGCGAAGGCGUGGGGAGCGAACAGG